AAAGAACCAAAUUUAUUUACAUUUACACCUGCCCUAACAAUACUUAAAAGGCCCCAUUUUUAUGGUAAUUAUCUUGAUUCACAAUUAUGAUUGCUUCCAGUUAAUCAGGAACUGAACAGCUAGUAAAUAAAUCAAUAAUUAAUCAUUCCCAUUCCUUAAAUCACCUCCAAAGAACGAGUAACACAAUAAAUACUCUAACUAAAUGCCUUAUUCAUCAUGCAUACCGUAAGAUAAACAGAGUUUCUCAAAAAUCCAAAAUCAAAAACUUUAUUCAAAAUCCAUAAACCCUAACCUGAUCGCACUCAAAUUCCUCAUU
rnacentral:misc_RNA from 1 species